rnacentral:sRNA from 12 species
UUGGACUCAGCUCAGCUGGCCUCAAUUUUGGGGCUGAAUGGUUUUGACGGUGCAGUGGUGAUUACCGAAG